rnacentral:misc_RNA from 1 species
GCCCCAAUGACAUUCUUGUAAGCAACAGAGAGGAGAUUCCUCUCCUCAACAGUCAGCUCCUCGACAUCUACAGUCUUGGCAACUUUCUCCAUGAACUCUACCAUUUCCUCAUAUCGUUCAGCCUGUUCGGCCAACUUGGCCAUGUAAACAUUUUCCUCCCGUGAAGAAUCAACAGGCGACAUCUUCAAUGUAAUAAACUAUUAAUUCUCUCGAGAAAAUCGAGCCCAGAGAGAGAGAGAUU